rnacentral:rRNA from 1 species
UCAGGAUGAACGCUAGCGGCAGGCUAACACAUGCAAGUCGAGGGGCAUCGGGAGUAGCAAUACUUGCCGGCGACCGGCGCAAGGGUGCGUAACGCGUGAGCAACAUGCCCGUAUCAGGGGGAUAAUCCAUGGAAACGUGGUCUAAUACCCCAUAGUAAUUAUGUAAGGCAUCUUAUAUAAUUUAAAGCUUUGGUGGAUACGGAUUGGCUCGCGUGACAUUAGCUGGAUGGUAAGGUAACGGCUUACCAUGGCUACGAUGUCUAGGGGUUCUGAGAGGAAGGUCCCCCACACUGGAACUGAGACACGGUCCAGACUCCUACGGGAGGCAGCAGUGAGGAAUAUUGGACAAUGGAUGGAAAUCUGAUCCAGCCAUGCCGCGUGCAGGAAGACGGCCCUAUGGGUUGUAAACUGCUUUUGUAUGGGAGCAAUAAGGGCUACGUGUAGUCCGAUGAGAGUACCAUACGAAUAAGCACCGGCUAACUCCGUGCCAGCCGCCGC